AGUUUGAUCCUGGCUCAGAAUGAACGCUGGCGGCGUGCCUAACACAUGCAAGUCGAGCGAGGCCGCGGGGCAACCCGGAGUCGAGCGUCGAACGGGUGAGUAACGCGUGGGUAACCUACCCAGGAGAGGGGGAUAGCCCCGCGAAAGUGGGGGUAAUACCGCGUACGCUCUCCGGUGCACAAGCGCCGGAGAGGAAAGGUGGGGAUCCCUUCGGGGACCUGCCGCUCCUGGAUGGGCCCGCGUCCGAUUAGCUAGUUGGUGGGGUAACGGCCUACCAAGGCGACGAUCGGUAGCCGGCCUGAGAGGGUGACCCGCCACAUUUGGGACUUAGACACGGCCCAGACUUCUACGGGAGGCAGCAGUGGGGAAUAUUUGGCAAUUGGCGAAGGCUUGACCCAGCGACGCCGCGUGAGGGAUUAAG
rnacentral:rRNA from 1 species